rnacentral:rRNA from 1 species
UACGUAGGGUGCGAGCGUUUGUCCGGAAUUAUUGGGCGUAAAGGGCUCGUAGGCGGUUUGUCGCGUCGGGAGUGAAAACCCAGGGCUUAACCCUGGGCUGGCUUCCGAUACGGGCAGACUAGAGGUAUGCAGGGGAGAACGGAAUUCCUGGUGUAGCGGUGAAAUGCGCAGGAUAUCAGGAGGAACACCGGUGGCGAAGGCGGUUCUCUGGGCAUUACCUGACGCUGAGGAGCGAAAGUGUGGGGAGCGAACAGG